CGCUGUCAUUUAAAAAUUUAGAUAUCUUGCUGCCAACAAAUAUAAUUAGAUAAUCAAUUUGGUACAACCAAAAACACUGAUACCUAUUGAUACAUUCAGAUUACUAUUAAACUUGGUAUACAAAUUAAUUAAUAAUAUAUAAGAUACAAUAAUGUAUUAUAAAACUUGAUGUACUGUUGGGAAUCAUAGGGUGCUGGUGUAUGCAGAUUUUAAAUUUUUUUAAAAAAUAAUACAGUGGAAUAAUAGAUCAAAACUUCUUUUAAUCUAGAACAUGCAUAUAUAUGAUCAAAGUGCCUAAAGAUCUAGUUCAUAUGCUAAAAAUAAUAUAUGCUGAUUUUAAUCUGAAAAUAAAAAUAUAUAAUCGGAUCACAUAUCUAUUUCGUUUUUCUUUUUCUUGAAUCUGAAUCUGAAAGAUGAACAGAUUUUUUUUAGCCGCGCAAGUGUCUGGCCUCUAUGGGUAUCUACGUAGGAACAAUUUGGAUUGCUCCUCUUCUUUUCUUCACAUGCA
rnacentral:lncRNA from 1 species